rnacentral:lncRNA from 1 species
AGAUAUCUAGAACUAGAAUUUAAUAUUUAGUAAUUGUAUUAGUAUUGAUCCAAAAACUAAGAAUUUAUCAGUAAAUGCUAUUCAUCUACUAUCGACAGUGCUCUAGCCAAACUCAGCAUCGUUCUUUAUUAUUAUUUUUUUAACACUUUGGCACAUAAUCUAUCUAUAUUUAUACCUAUAUAUUAUCCCUCAUAUAAUUUACUGUAUGACUAUGUCUCCUUCACUCUUAUCUCCUCCCUUUUUUUUCUUUCCUGAUGUUUCGCCUUCUCACCCUUCAUUUUCGUCCAAUUAAUGUGUUCAUAUGGUUUAUUAUUAUCUAAACAAAUCAGUUUCAUAAAAAAAUUAAAAUAAAAUCCUUCAUAUUUUUUUUAUACUAUUUGUAUUUAUUAAUAUCUUAUAACAAGUUAAAAAAUUUUAAUAUUUUUUAGUUUAUCAAUCUUCUGUCUUUUAUAAUAUUAGUCCACUACAAUGCGUGAAUAAUAAUAAUAAUAAUAAUAAUAAUAAUAAUAAUGUAUGCUAAAUAUGUAAGCGACUAAGAUCAAUAUAAUACCAAAGUUGGAGUGAAUUAAAAGAGAACAAAAUAUUCGGAUG